UUAAAACUAAUUUCUAAAUUUUUGCCUGGUUCCAUUUUAUAAACUGUUUGUAUUACGUUUGUGCAAAACGUAUACAAAAUUCAGUAUAGUUAAGUCAUUUUUGGAGCAUUUUUUGAAGUUGUGUAAGAUAUAAGCAUUUAAAGUAGUUCUUUACUGAUAAACAAAAUUGAACGGAAAACAGAUUUUCUUAAUGUAGUGAAUGUUAUUUAAUUACUAACGAAAUUUAAGAUUGUAAUCUGACUUUUCGUUUCAAUCAAUUUUCCAAGAAUAAAAUCUGAAAUAAAACUGUUUAAAAUCUCUCUUGAGAAUUGUAUUUAACAAUUCGACAGUAUCUGAUUUUGAGUAUUUCAAACUAAGCUCUUAAAAUCACAUCGUUUGAUACGAAAUUUGUAGAAAAUCUCUAAACAGUUAUAGGGUAUUGAUAAAACAUACAAUUUGUUUACUUUCAUGUUAAACUUGAUUUUUAGUUAUGAAAAAUAAAUGGACUUUGUAAAGAAAAAAAAGGUUUACAGCUAAAUUAAGCCCCUCCUAGCGCAGAAUUGAUGGAGACUAUACGAAUGGAGAAACCUAAAAACUAUAUUUGUUUCGAACUUAAUUAGAUAAUUAAGCAUUUUUAAUAGUCUAUAUUUGCAUUAAAGUAAGUUAAUAAAAGCAAUUCUAAUAUAAGCACUUAACGGUUCGUCGUGUUUUGAUUGAGCUUAAAUCCAAUGAUUUUAUAGUGUUGUGGUGUAAUUGCAGUUGAAAGUAAAAUUUAAUAAAACAAAUUGCCAACAAAAUGCGCACUUGGCUCAGGAAUUUUCAAUGUAAUUUUAAACUAAAAUAAAUAAAAGAAUUAUUUUAGCAAGUAGCUAAUUUUGUCAAGGUAAUGCGCUAUUCAGUCUAGUUAAAGUACUUAACGUAAAUUGAAGAUAAAUUUUAAGUCUAUGACAAAUUUAUGAGUUUUAAUGAUACUUAUUCGCUGCUGGAGUAGCAAAAUAAUGACUAACUGUUCAGUUCAAGCAGAAUAAUGACUAACUAUUCAGUAAUCACGUAACACACCUUAACAUUGACCAUAAUACUAAUUCGCUGCUUCAGUGGUAGAAUAAGUAUAAGAGUAAACUCCAUUUUUGAAUAAAAGUAAAAUUAUAAUUGGGAUUGGGCUCAAUAGAAACUGUGAAAAGUUAGUAAAUUAACCAGGCAAUUUUAUUUAAAAACAAUCUGAAUGACGAAAUUUUUGUAGUAAUUUUGUUACAAAAGUCACGGUGAGUUCUUCAAAGUAAAAACUAAUUUACAAAUGACUAUGAAAAGGAUCUUUUAGUUGCAAUUGUCGUAAACUGAAAAUAACUUACAAAUUGCGUUUAUUACAUUUGAGAGCACUUACAGCAAACUUCAUUCAAACCGUAAGCCUAAAUUCCAUUUUACAGAGAAUCAUAUUGGCAUUUAGUUCUAGCCCUACUUUAAUGUUAGAAACGAAACUAGUAAAAAAUUAAGUUUCAUGAAAUUUUAUGCGUAGAAGAAUUUUUUUUAUAUUUGAAAAAUUACUUUAAAUAGAAAGUAAAUAUAAAAAGAUGUUUUCAAUCUCUUGUAUUUCAAUGUCUUGUAUUUGCUUGAAACAUUUUAAAACUAAAGUAAUGUAAAAGUUGCUGAAUUAACGUAUCGUCUUGCGUUUGUAGCCCAGCACAUCUCAUAAUACAAGCCUUCGAGCUAUACAAAACUAUUUGUAACUAAAGGAAAGACCCAGCGCAUAUGCAGAAUAUUUUUAAUUCAAAAAAUUAAAUAAAAUUUGAUCAUAAACAUUAAAAGUUUAUACAAUUUCCAGUUUAACAAAUUUUAACUAGAGUAGGCGAACCUUCUUAUAAAAUAAAAAGGCUUGAAGUAAUUUCUGAAAAUUUACAUGAUAUUUUAUUACUUCAGGAAAUUAAAUUCCUACACAGGUUUCCUCUAAAGUAGUUUUAAAAUGUUUACCUGAAGUGUUUUUUAGUUAUAAUAGGUCAGCAGUGCUAUUUUGUGAGAGGUCAGACUCUAAAGUACAUAAUACAAUAAUUCAUAGUUUGAUUUACAAAAUUAAGAGUUCAAGUUCUAAGGAGAAAAAAAGGAUUAAAUUUUUUGCUUUAAUAUUACUUUUAAACACUAAUUUCAGCGGAGAUAGUUUAGAGAUUUUUAAAUUUCAAUCUUAAGCUAUUGAGUCUUUUCUAAUCUUUUUCAGAAGAGCUUCUUAACCUAUCAUUCGAAACCAGACUAUAGCUGAACGGAGAAUCUCACAGGAUGAAAGGGACUAUCAACCGUUUCUUGAUUAACAGACUCAACCAGGAAUGAAUUCUGACUUUAAGGACAUCGCAUCAAGUUUUUAGAAUUUGCCACUUCUAUUGGAAUAUUCACCUAUGCUUUACUUCGUGAAACUGAGUCUCUCAUGCAAAGAGAAAAAUCUUCUAGAAUCUGCACAAAAUGGUUUACUACAUGAAAAUGAGUAGCAGACGUAACGAGUUGAAUAAGGACUCUAUACAGGUCAAGAACUCUUUAUAUUGUGGAAUUGUUUUAGUUUGUACACUUCACAUUAAUUGCCUAUACAUUGUACUAGACUGAUACAGAUAUUUAAGAUCUUUUGUUACUUUCCUUUUUUUUAAUGAAUAGUCUAGAGAAUGUUUUUAAAACAUUAGGAUGUAAUUAAAAACAUUUACUUUAAAUUUUGGCUGUAAUAUUCCUAUAUUAUGAAUGCCAAAGAGCAGAUUUUUAUGAAUUUUAAUUUUCUAUUUAUUCUUUAAACCUUCACGGCCAACUCUUUAAUAUGUACAACAUUCAAAUAAAUAUUGGUUAAAGCAAAUACUGUUAGAUGCAAAAAUUAUUUUAACAAAAAUAUCGGUCAUGUAGAUAAAAUCUCCAGAUGCGUUGAUUUCCUCACCACCGAAUAUCGAAACUAGUGAAAAAUUCUUUCCUUAGCCAAAAUUUCAAUUCUAAGUAAGAUGUUCUGGAACGUUUUAUGUAGUCAUCAAGAAAAUUGUAAGAUUUUAACUCUUAGAUAUUUUACUCUCUAUUUAAAGUUAUCAUUUAGGCUCGUAUGAUUGGAAACAUCGGGCUAUCACUUAGUCUUUGGAAAUUCCUACCUAAGCGUUAAUUUUGCCAAACUUAUCUAAAUUUAGAUUGAUCCAAUAAUUAGAAGCAACUAGCAUUUUUAUUAUGAAAAAGUAUUUUUUUUAAAAAAUUCAGUGCUUUCAAACUAACUGCAUCGAAUGUAGCUCUUUAUUAGCGUGUUUUAAAAAGCCAUUCAAAUUUAGGAUAAAAAGGGUGCGAUUCUAAAAAAAUUCAAUUAGAAAAUUUCUCGAAACUUUAUUUAAUUAUUAAGUAUUUUUGGUUGGAAAUUUUUACUAUUUUUCUCGAUGCACAAAACAGACUAAGAAUACCUUUAAAGUCCUACUUAAUUCAGAAGUAUCUGAUUUUGUGUAUAUCAGAAACUGAACUUAAAACCACAUCGUUAGAUACAAAAUUUAUAGAACUACAAAAGGGCAUUGAUAAAAAUAAAAUUUGUUUACUUUCAAAUUGGACUAUAUUUUUUGUCAUUAAAAAGAAAUGGAUUUAACUAUAAUUUUUUCCAAUUAAGUUAAUUUCCCGCCUUGUAAUGUAAAAACCUAAAUACAGUUUUAAAUUUAAUUAUAAAAUGAAGCAUUUUUAAUAGUCUACAUACUUACAUUAAGAUGAGUUAAAAAAAUUCUAAAAUAAAUACUUCUAAGCAAUUAGUCUUUGAUUUAGCUUAAAUCCAAGGAUUUUAUAGUAUUGUGGUGUAAUUGCAGUUUAAAGUGAAAAUUAAUAAGACAAGUUACCAACAAAAUUCGUUCUUGUCUCUGUUAUUUUAAACCAAAAUAAUAAGUUUAUUUUAGCAAGUAGCUAAUUUUGUAGAGGUAAUACGCUAUUCAGUCCAGUCAAAUUACUCAUGGUAAAUUAAAGAUAAAUUUUAUUUUGUCUAUGACAAAUUUAUGACUUUUAAUGAUGCUUAUUCGCUGCUGAAGUAGCAAAAUAAUGACUAACUGUUCAAUAAUCACGUAACAUAUCUUAACAUCAACCAUAUAACACUAAUUCGCUGCUUCAGUGGUAGAAUAAGAAUAGAAUAUAACAGUGUACUUUUGAGUAAAAUUAUAAUUGGGAUUGGACUGAAUAGUAUCUGCCUUAAAAAUUGGUAAUUUAACUGGAAAUUUUAUGUUUAGUAUAAAUCACACUUUUAAUUACUUAAGUUUUAUAAAAAUUUUGUUUCAAAGGUCACUUCAAAGUAAAACUAAUUUUCGAACGGCUGUAAAAAAAGAUCUUUUAGUCGAAAUUCUCAUAAACUUGAAAUAACUUAAAAACUGCGCUUAUUACAUUUGAGAUUACUUAUAACAAACUUCAUUCAAACCGUAAGUUUAAAUCCACUUCACAGAAAAAUCAGGUUGGCAUAUAGUUCUAGCCCUACUUGAUUUUCUUCUAGUUUUGUUUUUGACAUUAAAGUUAUCAAAUUUUAUGUGUAGAAGAAACUUGUUAUGUUUGAAAAAUUUAUUUAAAUAGAAAAUAAAUAUGAAGAGAUGUUUCAAUGUCUUGUCUUGCAUUUCAAUGUUUUAUAUUUGUCUGAAAUUAAAAUUUAAAAUUAAAGCAUUGCUGAAUUUACGUAUCGCCUUGCGUUUGGAGUCCCGCACAUAAGCAUAAGAGCUUUUGUGCUACACAAA